GAUGAAGAACGUAGCGAAAUGCGAUAAGUAGUGUGAAUUGCAGAAUUCAGUGAAUCAUCGAAUCUUUGAACGCACAUUGCGCCCCUUGGUAUUCCAUGGGGCAUGCCUGUUCGAGCGUCAUUUGUACCUUCAAGCUUUGCUUGGUGUUGGGUGUUUGUCCUGAGGGACUCGCCUUAAAGUAAUUGGCAGCCAGUGUUUGGUUUUGAAGCGCACCACAAGUCGCGAUUCAAGGCUAUACACCAGCUUCCACAAGCCUUUUUCACUUUUGACCUCGGAUCAGGUAGGGAUACCCGCUGAACUUAAGCAUAUCAAUAAGCGGAGGA
rnacentral:misc_RNA from 1 species